UCCUUUUGGUAAUAAUUUAAGGUCUAGCCUGCCCACUGAGUAUUUAAAUGGCCGCGGUAUUUUGACCGUGCUAAGGUAGCAUAAUCAUUAGUUUUUUAAUUGAAAGCUAGAAUGAAAGGUUGAAUGAAAAAAUUUCUGUCUCUUAUUAAUUUUAUUAGAAUUUUAUUUUUAAGUUAAAAAGCUUAAAUUUUUUUAAAAGACGAGAAGACCCUAUAGAGUUUAAUAUAAAAUUAAAUUUUUAGUUUAGGUAUUUAAUUUAAAAAGUAGAUUUUAUAUUUAAUUGGGGUGAUUAAAAAAUUUAAUUAACUUUUUUUUUAUUGUUAUAUUAAUUUAUAAAUUUAUGAUCCAAUUUUUUUGAUUAUAAGAAUAAAUUACCUUAGGGAUAACAGCGUAAUUUUAUUAUAGAGUUCUAAUCGAAAAUAAAGUUUGCGACCUCGAUGUUGGAUUAAAA
rnacentral:rRNA from 1 species